AGUGGCGCUCGGGCGAGCUGCGCGGCGCGCUGGGUGCAUGUGGGGGCCGCAUCAGAGCCGUGGCCGCUGCAUCUGGAGUCACGCGUGCUGGCUAGAGAGCCCCUCGCGUGAAUCUGCAACAUCGCUGCUCGGGUUGGAGGAGUUCACUCUUUUUCUCCCGCUCCAGAAGCUGCUGCCGGCGUGAAGGAAGCCAGCAGGGCCCUAGGAAGAAGGUUAAAACCCCACGGAAGGAACAUGAAGUUCCCUUGGAGAUCAUUCAAGAGGACGAUGGAGGGAGGCAUUUAGAGUAAACCGAGUUAAAAACCACAGGCUGCCACCCUGGGGCCUGAGGGCUGGCAGUGGAAACGCCUGCUGGGCUGUGACCUCUCACUGAAAA
rnacentral:lncRNA from 1 species